rnacentral:rRNA from 1 species
CCUACGGGAGGCUGCAGUGGGGAAUAUUGCACAAUGGGCGCAAGCCUGAUGCAGCGACGUCGCGUGAGCGAUGAAGGCCUUCGGGUCGUAAAGCUCUGUCCUAAGGGAAGAAUAAUGACGGUACCUUAGGAGGAAGCCCCGGCUAACUACGUGCCAGCAGCCGCGGUAAUACGUAGGGGGCGAGCGUUAUCCGGAAUCACUGGGCGUAAAGGGUGCGUAGGCGGCCCUGCAAGUCAGGAGUUAAAUUCCUCGGCUCAACCGAGGUCAGCUCGUGAAACGGUAGGGCUUUAGUGCAGGGGAGGAGAGCGGAAUUCCUAGUGUAGCGGUGAAAUGCGUGGAUAUUAGGCGGAACCCCAGUGGCGAGGGCGGAUCUCUGGACUGCAACUGACGCUGCGGCACGAAAGCGUGGGGAGCGAACAGGAUUAGAUACCCGGGUAGUC